AGAGUUUGAUCCUGGCUCAGGACGAACNCUGGCGGCGUGCUUAACACAUGCAAGUCGAACGGUAAGGCCCUUCGGGGUACACGAGUGGCGAACGGGUGAGUAACACGUGGGUGAUCUGCCCUGCACUUUGGGAUAAGCCUGGGAAACUGGGUCUAAUACCGAAUACACCUUGCUGGCCGCAUGGUCUGGUGGGGGAAAGCUUUUGCGGUGUGGGAUGGGCCCGCGGCCUAUCAGCUUGUUGGUGGGGUGAUGGCCUACCAAGGCGACGACGGGUAGCCGGCCUGAGAGGGUGUCCGGCCACACUGGGACUGAGAUACGGCCCAGACUCCUACGGGAGGCAGCAGUGGGGAAUAUUGCACAAUGGGCGCAAGCCUGAUGCAGCGACGCCGCGUGAGGGAUGACGGC
rnacentral:rRNA from 1 species